rnacentral:rRNA from 1 species
GAUGAACGCUAGCGGCAGGCCUAACACAUGCAAGUCGAGGGGUAACAGGUGUAGCAAUACAUGCUGACGACCGGCGCACGGGUGAGUAACGCGUAUGCAACCUACCUUUAACAGGAGCAUAGCCCCGAGAAAUCGGGAUUAAUACUCCAUAACAUUAUGAAACCGCAUGGUUUUAUAAUUAAAGUUUCGGCGGUUAAAGAUGGGCAUGCGUGACAUUAGUUAGUUGGUGAGGUAACGGCUCACCAAGACAGCGAUGUCUAGGGGUUCUGAGAGGAUUAUCCCCCACACUGGUACUGAGACACGGACCAGACUCCUACGGGAGGCAGCAGUGAGGAAUAUUGGUCAAUGGGUCGAAAGACUGAACCAGCCAUGCCGCGUGCAGGACGAAGGCGCUAUGCGUUGUAAACUGCUUUUCUACAGGAAGAAACCUACCCUCGUGAGGGUAGCUGCCGGUACUGUAGGAAUAAGCACCGGCUAACUCCGUGCCAGCAGCCG